rnacentral:lncRNA from 1 species
AUACUUUGAUAAGUUAAAGUUAUUUUUGUUAACAUGUGAGACACAUGUUUUUCAAAGAAGGAGGCAAUGUAAUAUUUUAAUGUUUUGUAAAUAUUGACCUCUAGUUUAAUAGUUUGGCUUUAUAACUGUUUAUUUGUAUACAGAGAAAAUUAAUGACGCAAGGCUAAUAUGACAAGUUGCUAGUUUAUUAUCUGCAGUUAAAGUUGAACUGUCAGAUGUGAUUAAGACCAGAAACGAUGUCCUGGUG